UUAAAUUGAAGAGUUUGAUCAUGGCUCAGAUUGAACGCUGGCGGCAGGCCUAACACAUGCAAGUCGAACGGUAACAGGAAGCAGCUUGCUGCUUCGCUGACGAGUGGCGGACGGGUGAGUAAUGUCUGGGAAACUGCCUGAUGGAGGGGGAUAACUACUGGAAACGGUGGCUAAUACCGCAUAACGUCGCAAGACCAAAGAGGGGGACCUUCGGGCCUCUUGCCAUCAGAUGUGCCCAGAUGGGAUUAGCUUGUUGGUGAGGUAACGGCUCACCAAGGCGACGAUCCCUAGCUGGUCUGAGAGGAUGACCAGCCACACUGGAACUGAGACACGGUCCAGACUCCUACGGGAGGCAGCAGUGGGGAAUAUUGCACAAUGGGCGCAAGCCUGAUGCAGCCAUGCCGCGUGUAUGAAGAAGGCCUUCGGGUUGUAAAGUACUUUCAGCGGGGAGGAAGGUGUUGCGGUUAAUAACCGCAGCAAUUGACGUUACCCGCAGAAGAAGCACCGGCUAACUCCGUGCCAGCAGCCGCGGUAAUACGGAGGGUGCAAGCGUUAAUCGGAAUUACUGGGCGUAAAGCGCACGCAGGCGGUCUGUCAAGUCGGAUGUGAAAUCCCCGGGCUCAACCUGGGAACUGCAUUCGAAACUGGCAGGCUUGAGUCUUGUAGAGGGGGGUAGAAUUCCAGGUGUAGCGGUGAAAUGCGUAGAGAUCUGGAGGAAUACCGGUGGCGAAGGCGGCCCCCUGGACAAAGACUGACGCUCAGGUGCGAAAGCGUGGGGAGCAAACAGGAUUAGAUACCCUGGUAGUCCACGCCGUAAACGAUGUCUACUUGGAGGUUGUGCCCUUGAGGUGUGGCUUCCGGAGCUAACGCGUUAAGUAGACCGCCUGGGGAGUACGGCCGCAAGGUUAAAACUCAAAUGAAUUGACGGGGGCCCGCACAAGCGGUGGAGCAUGUGGUUUAAUUCGAUGCAACGCGAAGAACCUUACCUGGUCUUGACAUCCACAGAAGAAUCCAGAGAUGGAUUUGUGCCUUCGGGAACUGUGAGACAGGUGCUGCAUGGCUGUCGUCAGCUCGUGUUGUGAAAUGUUGGGUUAAGUCCCGCAACGAGCGCAACCCUUAUCCUUUGUUGCCAGCGGUCCGGCCGGGAACUCAAAGGAGACUGCCAGUGAUAAACUGGAGGAAGGUGGGGAUGACGUCAAGUCAUCAUGGCCCUUACGACCAGGGCUACACACGUGCUACAAUGGCGCAUACAAAGAGAAGCGACCUCGCGAGAGCAAGCGGACCUCAUAAAGUGCGUCGUAGUCCGGAUUGGAGUCUGCAACUCGACUCCAUGAAGUCGGAAUCGCUAGUAAUCGUGGAUCAGAAUGCCACGGUGAAUACGUUCCCGGGCCUUGUACACACCGCCCGUCACACCAUGGGAGUGGGUUGCAAAAGAAGUAGGUAGCUUAACCUUCGGGAGGGCGCUUACCACUUUGUGAUUCAUGACUGGGGUGAAGUCGUAACAAGGUAACCGUAGGGGAACCUGCGGUUGGAUCACCUCCUUACCUUAAAGAAGC
rnacentral:rRNA from 1 species